UACAGAGGUCUCAAGCGUUGUUCGGAUUCAUUGGGCGUAAAGGGUGCGUAGGCGGCGCGGUAAGUCGGGUGUGAAAUCUUGGAGCUUAACUCCGAAACUGCAUUCGAUACUGCCGUGCUUGAGGACUGGAGAGGAGACUGGAAUUUACGGUGUAGCGGUGAAAUGCGUAGAUAUCGUAAGGAAGACCAGUGGCGAAGGCGGCUCACUGGCCCGAUACUGACGCUGAGGCACGAAAGCGUGGGGGAGCAAACAGG
rnacentral:rRNA from 1 species